ensembl:lncRNA
ACAGAGUCCAAAAUGGUCGUGUUUUUACUUUGUAUUCUACUCUCCACUAUCUUGAUAGAUUAUUUGGCCUCUUGUUGCUGCCUAUUUGGUAAAUAUGGUAUUUUCAUUGUUUGUAGGAAUAGCAUGAAAAUCCCACAAAAGCAACUUACUCUGAUUUUCUGCUGAACUAAGCGCAUCACCUCCUGAGUCUGUAAACACCUCUGAGUCAUUUCUGAUUAAUCUUUGAGGGUCAUUUGUUCAGCACAGGGAAAAUGAUGCAUGAAGUUAUUGAAUGCUUAGUGUUACAGAUGCUGUUCCCAUGGAGAUCAUUCCCAGCAACGGCACAGUCUCACCCAAGAAACGGACUCUGACUUGAGUCCUUAUCUUACUUUUGUUCAUGAGAAGAAUUUGAAUGGCAUGUGCCAACAGAUGUGGUUUGAAGCAGCCAGAAGACACACCAAACAAAUUCAACUUCUUCCAGGUCUACGACGAGCACUGGCCUUUUGCCUCAGGACUCUUGUGCUUUCCCCUCUGCCUGAGAAAUUGCUGAUGGGGCUGUGAGAUAACCAGAACUUCAAGACUCAGCUAGGAUUUUGCACAUCCUUUGUUGGGGCAUUCUUCCAAUCUGCUUGCCACAAUGGAUACUGUUUAAGAGGAACUUAUCCUAGAGAAACUGAUAUAGAAGACUAUCAAGUCUAAGCAGAGACCCCCAUGCUUGCUUUUCCCUCUGCAAGGGGUUUGUGGUUCUGCAUAGAUGUACAAACUCCUAUGCAAAAAAAGACCUCUUUCAAGAAGGCUCCACCUAUGGUGAUCAAAGAAAUAAAGGCAAUUUAUGUUUCCAUUUUCAAGUCUUCUAAGUAACACAUAUGAAUUGUCACAGGCUGGAAGGAAGCCAUGACCUCUCUCACCUCUUAAGUGUCUUCGGUGCCUCAAGAAACUCUUAGGGUUACUACAUUACUCCUAGAAUUUCUUCAGAAAGUGAAUGUUAUGUACACACAGAUGUUCUCACUUCUAGUACAAGCCUGGGUCUCUUUUCACACAGCUUGCCAAUAUGCUGGAUCUUUUCCACCAAAAUAACCCACACUGAAUAAAGCAAAAUUGUAGAUCCAGAGGCAGGACACUUCUGUCAGCACCCUGCACAGAAAAGUGUCCUUACCUAGUUCUGGAGUUGCGCUGUAAUACACAAAGGAACUGGAUAUUGGGUCUUCAGCAACCCACUCAUGUGUUGCGGAUGGAUGGAACCUGGGGCUCCAUACCACUAAAAUGAACUCUUGCAAGUAGGUCCAUACUAUUGGGGGAAAGAUCCUGCUGGAAGAUAAUGCAUCUGUACCCGUGAAACUGAGACUAUAUGCUGAUGAGAACUUGAGCUGCUCUGUCGGAACAUGGUCCAACAAUGGCAUUGUGGUAGGACAAUUCCGAGUCCUUGUGAGAAAACUCCAAGAAACCAAGACAAAAGUCUUGCCACCUGUUACUUCCAAAACAUGGAAUUGUUCUUGGAUUAUGCUUUCAUGGCCCUCUAAGCCCCAUCUACAGAGAUUCACCACCUGUGAUCAUCACAUAGAAAGAGAAUCGUUAAGACUCUUUGCUACUCAUGAUCUUGAGAAACAGGAAGAUUCUACUAAAAAUACCCUGAGGUGCUGGAGCACAAGCCUGGGAAACAUAAGAAAGUUUGGGUAUCAGCAAGGAGACACCAGUGUGUAAAGGCAUCACCACAUGAAUGGAGCUACAAGAGAUGGCAAAUUCCAGUACGUUUCAGGAAGGAGCUGAGUCAAUGUUUCAUGUGCAGUUACACAUACAGGCUGACUUUUCACAUCCAGAAAUGAUCUAAAUAUGCUUCGUGGGAUUCAAAAUCAGCAUCAGCUCCUCUUAGCAAAAAUCGCUUUCAUCUCUCCAAGAGCUGCUUCUGUGGAAUGUGUGGUCAUUCUUUGCUAGAAGGCAUUUGGGGAAGCCACAUCAGCCUAAAUUCUCAUGAGAAUUCCUCUUGCCUGUCAGAUACUUUAUCUUCAAAGAAUGGCACUUGACUGUUACGGGAUCCCUCCAUCCUCCAUGACAAAAUGAGAAAGUAUACAUUGGUGUUUCAACUGCUUCAGUUAUUGAGGUGACAUUUUGUACCAUGUGAUGGGAUAGGAAUGUCAUCAUGUUUCAUCUGUAUUUGUGAAAUAAAAUGUGCAACCCUCAUUUUCACUGAAA